rnacentral:ncRNA from 1 species
UCGGGCCGAUGCGGGCGCCCGGCCAAGGCGGAUGUCCGCCCAAGUCCCGC